rnacentral:rRNA from 1 species
CCCUUAGAUGUUCUGGGCCGCACGCGCGCUACACUGAUGCAUUCAACGAGUUUCUUCCUGGUCCGAGAGGAAUGGGUAACCUUUUGAAAGUGCAUCGUGAUAGGGAUAGACUAUUGCAAUUAUUGGUCUUCAACGAGGAAUUCCUAGUAGACGUAGUUCAUCAGACUGCAUCGAUUACGUCCCUGCCCUUUGUACACACCGCCCGUCGCUCCUACCGAUUGAAUGCACAGGUGAGCCAUUCGGACUUUCAUCAUGCUGGUUUCCAGUUUUGAUGAAGGAAAGUCUUGCGAACCUUAUCAUUUAGAGGAAGGAGAAGUCGUAACA